rnacentral:misc_RNA from 1 species
AUGCGUUAGACCGCCUUCCAACCAUAACAUGAAAUUCACACAACAUAACCAAAUUGGCAAAGUCAAUAGUACAAAUAUUCAAGGACUUCUUCAGCGGUCGAGAUACCCGAUUAUUCUCUGUGAAAUCACUGUCCUUGCCUGUGUUAUGUCACGGCUACACUUAUUAGCAUGUUCACCUAAAUCCUCAAUAGCUUGCAUGAACACAUCCAGCUUCUUCUUGAUCUCAUCUAUCACAAGCUUCAAAGCAUCUUCUUCCAUAAGGGCAAUGCUCGCAUUUUGCAAGAGUGAUUCAAUUUCCAGUUCCAAUUUGUUGACAAGUAGCCGUAUAUUAUCCAUAUCCUUGAUUACAAUGAAAGUUCUAACAUGCAUUGAGCUUACCAACUCCUUCUGGCCCUUCACUUCUUUCAUAUAACUAUUCCAAAGUGAGUUACACCAUUUUCCCACUGAGCCAAUAGGAACAGCCAGUGCACCUGCCAAAGCUGUUACAAGAGGUGGUGCAGCAAUGGCGGCUGCCACCACUGAGAAAAUCAACACAGAGACAAAAGCAGCAACAAACAACACAUUUGAUACCCGCCUCCAUGUUUUCAUGUUCUUCAAUUUUUUAUCAAGCUUCUUCUUUUGAAGUGUCAAUUUCUCUAACAAGGAUUGCUGCUGCCUAUACACCGACUGAAAGAGUACAAAGAACUCCUCAGUAAAAGGAUCACCAACUGCCUUGAACUUACCUAAUUCCUCUAAUGUCUUCACAUACUUCUUGUCCGCAACCCCAUCUUGAAAUGCCACCUCUUCCUCGAACUGCCUAAGAGCAACUUGUAUGAUCAAUUGGCUAUUCCGAGCUCGCUUAAGACAAUUUUCAAGGGCAGUACAAAAAUCCAAAGUUUUGGCACUAUUGUUAAAGUACUCCUCAACCAAAGCAAACAAAUCUUUAUUUUUCCAUAUAUCUUCCUUGCUUUGCAGUAUAACUUCGACCACAUCUUGAUUUAUGUCAAGAAGGCUAUUGGUGACCUCUUUGAGAGAGUCAAAAGAUAGUGAUCUAAAGCCAGCACCAGUGGCAAGGGUGUUUAUGAUACGGUUAGUCCUUUCAUGGAGGGUAGCAUCAAAGGAUUGCAGGUCUGGAUCAAGCUUACAAGCAUCCUCAUAUGAUCUCAAGUCUGCCGUGUACUGGGAAUUGCUAUUCAUUUGGAGUGGUGGUGGAGGUUCAACGCCUUUUUU